CGCGGGAUGGAGCAGUUGGCAGCUCGUCGGGCUCAUAACCCGAAGGUCGCAGGUUCGAGUCCUGCUCCCGCAACCA
rnacentral:tRNA from 2 species